rnacentral:tRNA from 1 species
UGGGUUGUAGCUCAGUGGUAGAGCACUUACCUUGCAUGUGUGAGGCUCUGGGUUCAAGCCUCGGCACCUCAU